CCUACGGGAGGCAGCAGUGAGGAAUAUUGGUCAAUGGACGAGAGUCUGAACCAGCCAAGUAGCGUGAGGGAUGACUGCACUAUGGGUUGUAAACUUCUUUUGUCAGGGAAUAAAACGAGGCACGUGUGCCUUUUUGCAUGUACUUUAUGAAUAAGCAUCGGCUAACUCCGUGCCAGCAGCCGCGGUAAUACGGAGGAUCCGAGCGUUAUCCGGAUUUAUUGGGUUUAAAGGGAGCGUAGAUGGGUUGUUAAGUCAGUUGUGAAAGUUUGCGGCUCAACCGUAAAAUUGCAAUUGAUACUGGCAGUCUUGAGUACAGGAGAGGUAGGCGGAAUUCGUGGUGUAGCGGUGAAAUGCUUAGAUAUCACGAAGAACCCCGAUUGCGAAGGCAGCUUACUAAA
rnacentral:rRNA from 1 species